rnacentral:rRNA from 1 species
UACGUAGGGACCGAGCGUUGUCCGGAAUCAUUGGGCGUAAAGAGCGUGUAGGCGGCCUUUUAAGUCCUGCGUGAAAUCCUGCGGCUCAACCGCAGACGGUCGUGGGAAACUGGAAGGCUAGAGUGCGGGAGAGGAGAGUGGAAUUCCCGGUGUAGCGGUGAAAUGCGCAGAUAUCGGGAAGAACACCCGUGGCGAAGGCGGCUCUCUGGAACGCAACUGACGCUGAGGUGCGAAAGCGUGGGGAGCAAACAGG